UACGAAGGGGGCUAGCGUUGCUCGGAAUUACUGGGCGUAAAGGGCGCGUAGGCGGGUGCUUAAGUCAGAGGUUAAAUCCCAGGGCUCAACCCUGGAACUGCCUUUGAUACUGGGCACCUUGAGUAUGGGAGAGGUGAGUGGAAUUCCGAGUGUAGAGGUGAAAUUCGUAGAUAUUCGGAAGAACACCAGUGGCGAAGGCGACUUACUGGACACAUAUUGACGCUGAGGUGCGAAAGCGUGGGGAGCAAACAGG
rnacentral:rRNA from 1 species